rnacentral:sRNA from 1 species
GCGGAACGCGAGCAGCCGAGAGCGGAGAGGCGCCGCUGUAGUUAACUCCUCCCUGCCCGCCGCGCCGACCCUCCCCUGGAUCCCCCAGGCAACCAGCAUGAAGCGAGCUCACCCCGAGUACAGCUCCUCGGACAGCGAGCUGGACGAGACCAUCGAGGUGGAGAAGGAGAGUGCGGACGAGAAUGGGUGAGCUGGCGGCGGCGGAGCGGAGCCAGAGCGGGAGGCGAGCGCAGGCCUGCCGCGGUGACAUCGGGCUAGGACCCUUGGCGCGCCUGUGCCCUGCGCUGACCUCCGCGCGUCGCAGGCUGGCGGCAGCCUGCGGCCAGGGAACCCCUAGGCGCCUUCCAGCCCAAGUGGCAAAAAAAGUCUGAGUGCGGGGAGGGUGUGGGGGCGACCUCUCAGAUCACCUCUCCUCGUUUAACGGCGAUUUCAGUUUUUGUUUGUUCUUUUUCUCUUUUCAGAAACUUGAGUUCGGCUCUAGGUUCCAUGUCCCCAACUACAUCUUCCCAGAUUUUGGCCAGAAAAAGACGGAGAGGAAUAAUUGAGAAGCGCCGACGAGACCGGAUCAAUAACAGUUUGUCUGAGCUGAGAAGGCUGGUACCCAGUGCUUUUGAGAAGCAGGUAAUGGAGCAAGUAGGUAAAGCUCUCAGCAUAGCUAUCUGCACCUUCUGAAUCUUCCCCCCAUUAAUCUCAUCC